rnacentral:rRNA from 1 species
AUACGGAGGGUGCAAGCGUUACUCGGAAUCACUGGGCGUAAAGCGCGCGCAGGCGGCUAUUUAAGUUGGAUGCGAAAGCCUAUGGCUCAACCAUAGAACUGCAUCCAAAACUAUUUAGCUAGAGUGUGGGAGAGGAAGAUGGAAUUAGUUGUGUAGGGGUAAAAUCCGUAGAGAUAACUAGGAAUACCAAAAGCGAAGGCAAUCUUCUGGAACACUACUGACGCUGAGGCGCGAAAGCGUGGGGAGCAAACAGGAUUAGAAACCCUAGUAGUCC